UCCAAAAUAGCAUGUUGUGAUCUUGCCUAGCCACUUGGGAUGGUUGCAGGAGGAGGUGCAAGAGUUGGCUGGUGUGGAGAGUGGUGUCUCUGCAGGCCACUCUGGUGGCUUCCCCAGGAUCCAGGUCCAGCUGAGAGGGACAGGGGUCGUGCCCGCUCCCCCCUGGCCUGGGACGGCUGGCUUCCCAUGGGGAUGCAGAGCCCAGGCCAUAGGGGCCAGGGAAGGAGUCUGUCGUGUCUCACACCACGUCUGCAAGUUGUUCACCUCCAGAGAAGGGACAGGCAAGGCAGCAGGGAGGAGGGUGGGGUGAGCCAUGCCUCAGGAAUGCGUCCCUGGCAGAACAUCCAGUACAGCCGCGUCCCCGCCCGCACUACCCCAAUUCCCCUCCAGCCAGGCCUGGUUCCUCUUCCUCCAGCCAUUUCCACCAAUGGAGAGAUGGGAGCCGAGUCACUUCCCUUUCCCUGCCCCCCUCCCCCCAAAGGCAAUAAACCGAGAGCUUCAAUGGGGAAAUGGGUAAUAGCCAACAGGAAGAUGGGGGAGAUGGGAAGGCAGGGCCAAAGAAAGGGAACAGGAAGACGGCUCCCGACAAGACAGCUGUCAUCUGCUCAGACCCAAACCCAAAUGAGCACUGAUGACAUUCCGAUGCUGCGUGCCCGAGCCACACUCCGAGGAGCACUGACGGGCCCCAUGCUGCAGGCACGCAUGUCAGCAGGACGACUGCCCGGACAGCUCUGCCCACUGUUCUGGGCUCCUGCUUCUUCUUGACCAGCCCUGAGGGUGUCCCCGCUGCCCAGGCAGACCACGGAGCGCCGCUGGAUCCCC